rnacentral:rRNA from 1 species
AUACAACAUCUGGGGGCUAUGCCUUUUGAGCUUGGACGGACAAUGAUGACGCUUAGAAUGGGGCCUUCUCCUGCUAAUGCUUUUGUAAAUGCUGGGCAUGCUGUUUAUACAAACCCCACUGGACCAAGUCCAAUCAUGGUUCAGGCUACCUGUAUAGCUUUGCUUUCCUAUCAUGAACUGCUGACAACUUUGUUUUGGGCUAUCAUGCUAGCAUGCACUGUAACAUAUAUCACUAUGUAUCAACAUGCUACCUAA